CUACAAAAGGCAUCAAACUUGGAGGAUUGGCGAAAAGUUAUCUUAAACAAGGUUGUAAAAUGUUAGGUUGUGCUCCGCAUGAUAAUGAAAAGCAACGUAAAUACAAUGUUAUUCAAAUUCCUCUGCCUGCUGUUUCAAGUACAAGCACAAGU